UACGUACGAGGCGAGCGUUAUCCGGAAUUACUGGGCGUAAAGCGUGCGUAGGCGGUUUCUUAAGUCUGCUGUGAAAGCCCUGGGCUCAACCUGGGAAUGGCGGUGGAUACUGAGAAGCUGGAGUACGGUAGAGGAAGGUGGAAUUCCCGGUGUAGCGGUGAAAUGCGUUGAUAUCGGAAGGAACGCCGGUGGCGAAAGCGACGUGCUGGACCUCUACUGACGCUGAAGAACGAAAGCUAGGGGAGCAAACAGG
rnacentral:rRNA from 1 species